rnacentral:rRNA from 1 species
AGGACGAACGCUGGCGGCGUGCCUAAUACAUGCAAGUCGAACGGUCUUUUCUAUGGAAGCUUGCUUCCACUGAGAAGAUAGUGGCGAACGGGUGAGUAACACGUGGGUAACCUGCCCAUAAGAGGGGGAUAACAUCCGGAAACGGGUGCUAAUACCGCAUAGUUUUCUUGAUCGCAUGAUUGAGAAAGGAAAGACGGCCUUUGUGCUGUCGCUUAUGGAUGGACCCGCGGCGUAUUAGUUAGUUGGUGAGGUAACGGCUCACCAAGACGAUGAUACGUAGCCGACCUGAGAGGGUGAUCGGCCACAUUGGGACUGAGACACGGCCCAAACUCCUACGGGAGGCAGCAGUAGGGAAUCUUCCGCAAUGGACGAAAGUCUGACGGAGCAACGCCGCGUGAGUGAAGAAAAGGUUUUCGGAUCGUAAAACUCUGUUGUCAGAGAAGAACAAGUUGGAGAGUAACUGCUCCAGCCUUGACGGUAUCUGACCAGAAAGCCACGGCUAACUACGUGCCAGCCGCAGC